UUUUUUUUUUCCUCUGUAUUAUUAAAUAACCAAAAGGCUGCACAAUACAAAAGAACCCAAAAAGUCUAAACAAGAAAAUUAAAGGCCUAAACGCAUAACCCAGACAAAAUAAUAGCCCAAAGGGAGAACGGUGCCACAAUCCAGCUCUUUCCACGCGUUGAACUGUUAACGAGGAAGGACACGUGCCUAGAAACUGAAUCACCACCGCACAACUCCAGCCAAAGCGUGACCGACGGAACACUAAUCGGCUGACCCACCGAAAACACACCGGAAACAGGAUCCCGUUCAAAGUGAACCGUCGACUACGAUAUCGGAAGUGGAAGCACCACCAGCCAAGUCGUCAAAGUCUUCAACCACGAGCAAUUAUCAGACGCCAUGUAUCUACAGCCAAAAGACCUCCCCUUCAAUUGAAGUAGUUUCAAUCCAAAUCCACGAAGAACAACAAGCACCUCGUAGAUCGAUUGAAACAGAGAAGAUCGCAUAAGAGGAGAUCAACUAAGACCGGAAAAACAGGGGUAAAGCCGCCUUUAUCAUCAGAAAGUGAUGUAAAGCGGAGCCAAGAGCCAGCCGUCCUACGCCGGAGAAGAAAGCGCGG
rnacentral:lncRNA from 1 species